AGAGGUCACAGCCUCUUAAAAUAGACAUUAAGCUGUGAGCGUCUCCCGUAUUAACGGGAGGGUUGUA
rnacentral:ribozyme from 3 species